UUGUACUUAUUAGGUCAUUUGAUUAAAAACAUAUUUGUAAUUUGUAUACUUGUGUUUACCUUAAAACGGUUGAAGAAGAAUGAAGUAGACAUAGGAUUAGUUGAGCAACACAGUUCUGUUUCACUAACGAUUCACUCAUGAACAGAGCUUUUGGAAGUUACAAGUUGAAAUCGCUAAGAGGAAAUCCAAAACUAGAUAUACUUCAAAAUCUGAAACUUUAUGAGUGCCAACAUGAUGCCACAAGCGAAAAAUUCCACACCGGACCUCAUGUGAUGAGUUGCAAUCAAACCUUAGUUUCAUGCACAAAAUUGUCAAAAGUCUUAUAUCAGAUUAUCUUCAGGCUUUGUGUAUAUAAGGUGUGUACGAAACAUAAAUGGAUGUCAUGGUGAGACUUGGGUCCCAUCUCUAAGAUACCUUACCAUGUGUGUGCAGAUAUUCCAAGAUCCUAAAGAAUCUGAAAUCCAAAACACUUCUGAUCCCUAUCAUUUUGCAUAAGGGAUCCUCAACCUUUAAAAGAGUUACAGUAGGCAUUCUGUUACCAGGCCUCUGUGUGCCCACGGAGUAGCCAUCAUGAGCAAAGCUCACCCUCCUGAGUUGAAAAAAAUUGUGGACAAGAACUUAUCAUUGAAAUUAAAUGGUGGCAGACAUGUCCGAGGAAUAUUGCGGGGAUUUGAUCCCUUUAUGAAUCUUGUGAUAGAUGAAUGGUGGUAAUAUGAGGAAAUAGUGUCAUCAUGUUAGAAGCCUUGGAACAAGUAUAAAUAAUGGCUGUUCAGCGGAGAAACUCUCCAUAGGGCCUGUUUUACUAUGAUGUAAAAAAUAGUUCAUGUACAUUUUCAUAUUAGACUUUUUGUUAAAUAAACUUUUGUAAUAGUCAAAAUAAAAG